rnacentral:rRNA from 1 species
UGCAGCAACGCCGCGUGAGGGACGACGGCCUUUCGGGUUGUAAACCUCUUUUAGUAGGGAAGAAGCGAAAGUGACGGUACCUGCAGAAAAAGCACCGGCUAACUACGUGCCAGCAGCCGCGGUAAUACGUAGGGUGCAAGCGUUGUCCGGAAUUAUUGGGCGUAAAGAGCUCGUAGGCGGUCUGUCGCGUCUGCUGUGAAAACCCGAGGCUCAACCUCGGGCCUGCAGUGGGUACGGGCAGACUAGAGUGCGGUAGGGGAGAAUGGAAUUCCUGGUGUAGCGGUGGAAUGCGCAGAUAUCAGGAGGAACACCGAUGGCGAAGGCAGUUCUCUGGGCCGUAACUGACGCUGAGGAGCGAAAGCGUGGGGAGCGAACAGGAUUAGAUACCCUGGUAGUCCACGCCGUAAACGUUGGGCGCUAGAUGUGGGGACCAUUCCACGGUUUCCGUGUCGCAGCUAACGCAUUAAGCGCCCCGCCUGGGGAGUACGGCCGCAAGGCUAAAACUCAAAGGAAUUGACGGGGGCCCGCACAAGCGGCGGAGCAUGCGGAUUAAUUCGAUGCAACGCGAAGAACCUUACCAAGGCUUGACAUAUACGAGAACGCUCUAGAAAUAGAGAACUCUUUGGA